UACAGAGGGUGCAAGCGUUAAUCGGAAUUACUGGGCGUAAAGGGUGCGUAGGUGGUUUGUUAAGUCAGAUGUGAAAGCCCUGGGCUUAACCUAGGAACUGCAUUUGAUACUGGCGAACUCGAGUGUGUGUAGAGGGUAGUGGAAUUCCAGGUGUAGCGGUGAAAUGCGUAGAUAUCUGGAGGAACACCGGUGGCGAAGGCGGCUACCUGGACCAACACUGACACUGAGGCACGAAAGCGUGGGUAGCAAACAGG
rnacentral:rRNA from 1 species